GGUUGUGGCUCAGUGGCAGAGUGCUUGCCUUGCACAUGUGAGGCACUGGGUUCAAUCCUCAGCACCA
rnacentral:tRNA from 1 species